ACCCUGCUGCGCAGUUGUCUGAAGGGGGCGGAAGGAAUAAACACUGAGAGACAGCAGUGUGUGUGUGUGUGUGGUGUGAGUGUUAGUUAUGUUUUAUUUUUCAUGUUUUAAACACUUUUAUUAAUUUUGCAUUAACUUCUCCCACAUCUCCAUCUGUAUUAAAAAGUCGAGAAUCAGCUGGUCUGCAGGAGUUCUGCAUCUAAAGCCCAGAAUCUCAUUUCUAUCCUGCACUGAAAGCUGAUCCACCAUGCAGGGCUGCCAUCUGCCCUGUUCGCUGUAUGGCUGCAGGCGGACCUACACUAAGCCUGAAGCGCUCGCCAGUCACCUGCAGGAUCACCAUCGGAUCCCUGCGCAGUCUCUUCCUGGGAAGUCCUUCCUGUGCUCCACAAUUGGCUGUGAAGCCACCUUCUCCAGCAUGCAGCAGCUGAUGGAUCAUAUGAGGCAUCACCAUAAGCCCAAUUGCUUCUUUCUAUGUGAAAGCUGUCGGGCAAAGCUACGCUCGUACCGCACCCUCCUUAAACACCUGCAGACGUGUGCUAAAGUGGCCAAGAAGGCUGCGAAGUUAGAGCCUGGAGCAGGUCCUGACAUGGGUCCCUCUGGUGUCCCACUAGCCCCAAUGGAUAUGGAGCUCUCUGGCCCCCUACAGGCCCCAGGUCAGCCUGAGCAGAUGGAGAUGCAGAUGCAGGCUCUGCCCACACUGAUGCCAAAUUCAGCAGCAUUAGUCCACCCCAAUCAGCAUGUCCAGCAACCUCCAACCAACGGUGCUUCACUAGACCCCGCCUCCUCCAGGCCUCUGUCAGAGUCCAUGGCUUCUCUGGAGCCAAAUCUACCCCAGAGUGUUUCGGGUCAACUAGAGGGCCCCUACAGCCCUUUCCCACCCAGUCUGUCUCCAAUACCCCCACCCCCCCUGCCGGACCUGUCCCAGCCGGAGCAGCAGAACCAGUGGCCCCCCAGAAUGGGCCAGCCUGUCCUGCCAGCUUCUCCACCUGGAUCCAACGCAGUCUGGAGGAAGAACCAAGACCCGCCCGCGCCCAUUUUGCACAGAUGGAACUCUCCUCCGAGUCAGGCUCAGGCUUUAAGUAGAGAGAAAGUCCAGGUCAGUCCUUCAGCUGCCGAAUCCUAUGGGAGCACACCAGGGGGCGCUACAGCUGCUUACAGUGCGGCCACUGCACCCCCGACCGCAAGGAGAUGACUACACACAUUGAGAGCCAGCACAAGAGCCCAAAACCAAACACAGACAACGACGCAGUGGUCAACUCACAUUUACAGAUGACUAAAAACCAGUCAGACUCAGAAAACUCCAGUUACACACAGCUCUAACUCUACCUUCAGUCCUGAAAUAAGUCAUUUACAGCCUGGGCACUUGUGUGAUGUCUUAACUCAGAUCUGUCUUAGUGUACAGUGUGAUUGUGGAAAAGCCACACUUGACUGCAUGCUGUUUAUAGAGAGCUAGCAGCUCAGUGCCGUUUAAAGCUUGUGAAAUAUUAAAGACCUGUAUUUACAGUUUGUGUUAAUUGUUAUAGCAGAAACAUUUGUACACUAAUUGCUGUUAGUUCAUAUUAAACCUAUUCUUUUUAGUAAAACUGAUGCAUUUGUAACUGCAGGUAUGAUUAAUAAGUAUAUUGUUCAUUAAUAUGUAUUAGUGUAAUACAGUAAUAUCUUUUUAACAACAGUUUUUGCAUUAUAAGCAGAUAUUCUGGCAUGUAGCAGUUUUUCAGUUAAUAUGUGCAUUAAUGUCAGUGUAAUCAUUGUG